rnacentral:rRNA from 1 species
AAAUUGAAGAGUUUGAUCAUGGCUCAGAUUGAACGCUGGCGGCAGGCCUAACACAUGCAAGUCGAACGGUAACAGAAAGCAGCUUGCUGCUUUGCUGACGAGUGGCGGACGGGUGAGUAAUGUCUGGGAAACUGCCUGAUGGAGGGGGAUAACUACUGGAAACGGUAGCUAAUACCGCAUAACGUCGCAAGACCAAAGAGGGGGACCUUCGGGCCUCUUGCCAUCGGAUGUGCCCAGAUGGGAUUAGCUUGUUGGUGGGGUAACGGCUCACCAAGGCGACGAUCCCUAGCUGGUCUGAGAGGAUGACCAGCCACACUGGAACUGAGACACGGUCCAGACUCCUACGGGAGGCAGCAGUGGGGAAUAUUGCACAAUGGGCGCAAGCCUGAUGCAGCCAUGCCGCGUGUAUGAAGAAGGCCUUCGGGUUGUAAAGUACUUUCAGCGGGGAGGAAGGGAGUAAAGUUAAUACCUUUGCUCAUUGACGUUACCCGCAGAAGAAGCACCGGCUAACUCCGUGCCAGCAGCCGCGGUAAUACGGAGGGUGCAAGCGUUAAUCGGAAUUACUGGGCGUAAAGCGCACGCAGGCGGUUUGUUAAGUCAGAUGUGAAAUCCCCGGGCUCAACCUGGGAACUGCAUCUGAUACUGGCAAGCUUGAGUCUCGUAGAGGGGGGUAGAAUUCCAGGUGUAGCGGUGAAAUGCGUAGAGAUCUGGAGGAAUACCGGUGGCGAAGGCGGCCCCCUGGACGAAGACUGACGCUCAGGUGCGAAAGCGUGGGGAGCAAACAGGAUUAGAUACCCUGGUAGUCCACGCCGUAAACGAUGUCGACUUGGAGGUUGUGCCCUUGAGGCGUGGCUUCCGGAGCUAACGCGUUAAGUCGACCGCCUGGGGAGUACGGCCGCAAGGUUAAAACUCAAAUGAAUUGACGGGGGCCCGCACAAGCGGUGGAGCAUGUGGUUUAAUUCGAUGCAACGCGAAGAACCUUACCUGGUCUUGACAUCCACGGAAGUUUUCAGAGAUGAGAAUGUGCCUUCGGGAACCGUGAGACAGGUGCUGCAUGGCUGUCGUCAGCUCGUGUUGUGAAAUGUUGGGUUAAGUCCCGCAACGAGCGCAACCCUUAUCCUUUGUUGCCAGCGGUCCGGCCGGGAACUCAAAGGAGACUGCCAGUGAUAAACUGGAGGAAGGUGGGGAUGACGUCAAGUCAUCAUGGCCCUUACGACCAGGGCUACACACGUGCUACAAUGGCGCAUACAAAGAGAAGCGACCUCGCGAGAGCAAGCGGACCUCAUAAAGUGCGUCGUAGUCCGGAUUGGAGUCUGCAACUCGACUCCAUGAAGUCGGAAUCGCUAGUAAUCGUGGAUCAGAAUGCCACGGUGAAUACGUUCCCGGGCCUUGUACACACCGCCCGUCACACCAUGGGGUGGGUUGCAAAAGAAGUAGGUAGCUUAACCUUCGGGAGGGCGCUUACCACUUUGUGAUUCAUGACUGGGGUGAAGUCGUAACAAGGUAACCGUAGGGGAACCUGCGGUUGGAUCACCUCCUUA